rnacentral:tRNA from 1 species
CAGGAAGUAGUUUAUAAAAAUAUUAAUUUUGGAGAUUAAUGAUGAAGUUGUUUCCUUCCUGA